rnacentral:rRNA from 1 species
CCCUUAGACGUUCUGGGCCGCACGCGCGCUACACUGACGAAGGCAACGAGCUUUCCUUUACCGAAAGGUACGGGUAAUCUUUUGAAACUUCGUCGCGCUGGGGAUAGAUCCUUGCAAUUUUUGAUCUUAAACGAGGAAUGCCUAGUAAGCGCAAGUCAUCAACUUGCGUUGAUUACGUCCCUGCCCUUUGUACACACCGCCCGUCGCUACUACCGAUUGAAUGGUUUAGUGAGGCCUUCGGAUCCGCGACUCGUUUGUGGAGAAGUUGGACAAACUCAGUCAUUUAGAGGAAGUAAAAGUCGUAACA